rnacentral:rRNA from 1 species
GACGAACGCUGGCGGCGUGCUUAACACAUGCAAGUCGAACGGAAAGGCCCUGCUUUUGUGGGGUGCUCGAGUGGCGAACGGGUGAGUAACACGUGAGUAACCUGCCCUUGACUUUGGGAUAACUUCAGGAAACUGGGGCUAAUACCGGAUAGGAGCUCCUGCUGCAUGGUGGGGGUUGGAAAGUUUCGGCGGUUGGGGAUGGACUCGCGGCUUAUCAGCUUGUUGGUGGGGUAGUGGCUUACCAAGGCUUUGACGGGUAGCCGGCCUGAGAGGGUGACCGGCCACAUUGGGACUGAGAUACGGCCCAGACUCCUACGGGAGGCAGCAGUGGGGAAUAUUGCACAAUGGGCGGAAGCCUGAUGCAGCAACGCCGCGUGCGGGAUGACGGCCUUCGGGUUGUAAACCGCUUCCGCCUGUGACGAAGCGUGAGUGACGGUAAUGGGUAAAGAAGGACCGGCUAACUACGUG